UUUUAACUGGGCGUUCAGUUACUUGACGUAGACCCGAAACCGGGCGACCUACCCAUGAGCAGGAUGAAGCGAAAGUAAAAUUUCGUGGAGGUCCGAACCCACGAGCGUUGAAAAGCUCGGGGAUGACGUGUGGGUAGCGGUGAAAUUCCAAUCGAGCCCGGAGAUAGCUGGUUCUCCCCGAAAUAGCUUUAGGGCUAGCCUCAAGGUGAGAGAUACGGAGGUAGAGCACUGAAUGUCCUAGGGGGUAUUGCACCUACCGAAGACUAUCAAACUCCGAAUGCCGUCAUCUUAUACUUGGGAGUCAGACUGUGGGUGAUAAGAUUCAUAGUCGAAAGGGCAACAGCCCAGAUCGUCAGCUAAGGUCCCUAAAUGUAAGUUAAGUGGUAAAGGAUGUGGGAUUGCACAGACAACCAGGAUGUUGGCUUAGAAGCAGCCACUCAUUCAAAGAGUGCGUAAUAGCUCACUGGUCGAGUGAUCCUGCGCCGAAGAUUUCCGGGGCUAAAACUUACUACCGAAGCUACGGCAUCAGUAAUGAUGGGUAGGGGAGCUUCCCAUACGGGUUGAAGCAUGACCGUAAGGACAUGUGGACAGUAUGGGAGUGAGAAUGUUGGCAUGAGUAGCGAGAUGUGGGUG
rnacentral:rRNA from 1 species